GACGAACGCUGGCGGCGUGCUUAACACAUGCAAGUCGAGCGGUAAGGCUCCUUCGGGAGUACACGAGCGGCGAACGGGUGAGUAACACGUGAGCAAUCUGCCCAUCACAUCGGGAUAACCUCGGGAAACCGAAGCUAAUACCGAAUACAACCACUUCAGGCAUCUGACGGUGGUGGAAAGUUCCGGCGGUGAUGGAUGAGCUCGCGGCCUAUCAGCUUGUUGGUGGGGUAAUGGCCCACCAAGGCUUCGACGGGUAGCCGGCCUGAGAGGGUGACCGGCCACACUGGGACUGAGACACGGCCCAGACUCCUACGGGAGGCAGCAGUGGGGAAUAUUGGACAAUGGGCGAAAGCCUGAUCCAGCAACGCCGCGUGAGGGAUGACGGCCUUCGGGUUGUAAACCUCUUUCAGCGCCGACGAAGCGAAAGUGACGGUAGGCGCAGAAGAAGCACCGGCCAACUACGUGCCAGCCGCCGCUGUAA
rnacentral:rRNA from 1 species